CUAUAGGUUAUAACCUGCUUUUUGAGGCAGUACUGAACUUACAGACCUUAGAACCACCCUCCACUAGACAGUGUGAGACUUGUGCUUCAGGGGCUCAGAACACACAACAUGUUCGUCACUUCAACCCUAAGAACAAGCAAAGACAUUGAAAACAAAGUACCAGCAGACGCCAAGUCUUUUAACAAGAGGAGUCUAUCCAUAGCCACUCAAAUAAGAAUACGCUGAUUUGAAGAAUCUUCUGCUGGGAACCGGGGAUGGGAAAUUAGAGGUCAUAAGACCCUCAUUUCAGAAGAGGUCCUGCCCAUACCUGGAAGGGAUGCUACACAGUGAGACCAAGAAGACUGAACAGAGAGGCCUUUCUGGGUUUCCCCUCUGAGUCUAUUAGCAUCAGCUGUAUCCCUUUUGUUCCAUCACAUUUCUACAUGGUUGCUCAGUCUUCAAUCGUGCCCAUUCAGUGAAAUCUCCAUAAGACGCCCAAAGAGGAUGGGGUACAGAGAGCUUGGACAGCUGAACACAAAGAGACUUACAGGAAAGUGAACAAGACUCAUCUACAGUAGGGUGGGAGCACCCUAACUCCAUGCGAAUGGAAGCUCCUGCACUUGGUACCUUUUCAAACCUCGCACUAUGAAUUUCUUUAUCUGGCUUUUUAUUUAUAUCCUUUAAAAUAUCUUUUAUAAUAAAUGGAUAAAUGUGUUUCCCUGAGUUUUGUGAGCUGCUCUAGCAAAUUGACUACGCUUAAAGAGGGGGUUGUGGGAACCCCAACCGGAAGCUGGUAGAUCAGAAGUUCAGAGGCCUGGACUUGCGACUGGUGUCUGACGCGGGGCAGUCUUGUGGGAACUGACACUAUCUCCUGGAAGAUGACAUAAGAAUUGAAUUGGAUUAGAAGACGCCCAGC
rnacentral:lncRNA from 1 species